GUAUCAGCCGCCGCGGUAAUACAGAGGGUGCAAGCGUUAAUCGGAAUUACUGGGCGUAAAGCGCGCGUAGGUGGUUUGUUAAGUUGAAUGUGAAAUCCCCGGGCUCAACCUGGGAACUGCAUCCAAAACUGGCAAGCUAGAGUAUGGUAGAGGGUGGUGGAAUUUCCUGUGUAGCGGUAAAAUGCGUAGAUAUAGGAAGGAACACCAGUGGCGAAGGCGACCACCUGGACUGAUACUGACACUGAGGUGCGAAAGCGUGGGGAGCAAACAGGAUUAGAAACCCGCGUAGUCC
rnacentral:rRNA from 1 species